rnacentral:rRNA from 1 species
AUUGAACGCUGGCGGCAGGUCUAACACAUGCAAGUCGAACGCGUGGCGGACGGGUGAGUAAUGUCUGGGAAACUGCCCGAUGGAGGGGGAUAACUACUGGAAACGGUAGCUAAUACCGCAUACCAUCGGAUGUGCCCCGAUGGGAUUAGCUAGUAGGUGGGGUAACGGCUCACCUAGGCGACGAUCCCUAGCUGGUCUGAGUGGAUGACCAGCCAAACUGGAACUGAGACACGGUCCAGACUCCUACGGGAGGCAGCGGGGGGGAAUAUGGCAAAAUGGGGGCAAGCCUGAGGCAGCCAUGCGGCGUGUAGGAAGAAGGCCUGCGGGUUGUAAAGUACUUUCAGCGGGGAGGCGUUACCCGCAGAAGAAGCCCCGGCUAACUCCGUGCCAGCAGCCGCGGUAAUAC